rnacentral:rRNA from 1 species
AAGCGUUUCUAAAGGCUCUUUUGUAAGUUAUCUUUUAAAGACCGAAGCUCAACUUCGGGAAGGGAGAUAAUACUGCAAGAGUCGAGAUAUUUCGGGGUUACUAGAACUAUUGGUGUAGGGGUGAAAUCCGUUGAUAUCAAUAGGAAUUCCAAGGGCGAAGGCAGGUAACUAGGAAUUUUCUGACGCUGAUGAACGAAAGCUAGGGGAGCGAAAGGGAUUAGAGACCCCUGUAGUCCUAGCCGUAAACUAUGCUCGCUAGACCAGCGGAUUUAUCUGCUGGACGUAAGCUAACGCGUGAAGCGAGCCGCCUGGGGAGUACGGCCGCAAGGCUAAAACUCAAAGGAAUUGACGGGGAGGCGCACAACCAGUGGAGCAUGUGGUUCAAUUCGAGACGAACCGAAGAACCUUACCCGGGUUUGACAUGUUAUCGUUUUAAGUUCCCAGAAACGGGAACCUAUCUUAUUGAAAAAUGAGAUGAUAUCACAGGUGUUGCAUGGCUGUCGUCAGCUCGUGCCGUGGGGUGUUCCCUUCAGUGGGGUAACGAGCGCAACCCCUGUCCCGUAUUAAAUAUUUACGGGAGACUUUUCAUCCUUGUGAUGGAAGGAAGUGGGGACGACGUCAAGUCAGCAUGGCCCUUAUGUCCGGGGCUACACACAUGCUACAAUGAAGCCGACAAUGGGUUGCCAAGCCGUAAGGCGGAGCUAAUCCCAUCAAACGGCUUCUCAGUGGGGAUCGAGGGCUGCAACCUGCCCUCGUGAACGCGGAAUUGGUAGUAAUCGGGU